rnacentral:rRNA from 1 species
AGCGAACGUUUGCGGCGGGCCUAACACAUGCAAGUCGAACGGGCUAGCAAUAGUCAGUGGCGCACGGGUGCGUAACACGUGGGUAAUCAACCCUUCAGCUCGGGAUAACGCCUUGAAAGGGGCGCUAAUACCGGAUGCGACGCGAGGAGCCUCGGCGCUUCGCGGGAAAGAUUCGCAAGGAUCACUGAAGGACGAGCCUGCGGCCCAUCAGCUAGUUGGUGAGGUAAGAGCUCACCAAGGCGAAGACGGGUAGCUGGUCUGAGAGGAUGAUCAGCCACACUGGAACUGAGACACGGUCCAGACUCCUACGGGAGGCAGCAGUGGGGAAUAUUGCGCAAUGGGCGAAAGCCUGACGCAGCCACGCCGCGUGAGCGAUGAAGGCC